CGGGGGGAGUUCAUUGACCUGUUUUCCUUGCUCCACACAGAGCUGGCCCCCGAGCACGGCCCGCGCCCGGGGGACACGCUGGACCAGUGGGUCUCGGCCUUCCUGGUGUACGCCAGCGUGCUGUGCGAGAAGCACCCGGCGCGCUGCGGAGCCAUGUUCAAGUACCUGGACACCAUCCGCAAGCUGCACGCCACCUACGGGGGCACCUCCUGGAUGAACUACGAUGAGGAUUUCCGACGGCGGGCGGCCAAGAACCCCUCACUGCCCUGGGGCGACGUGGACUUGGACCUGUGGAUGAAGUGGAUGGCGCCCCUCAAGUCGCUCGUCCCCAGGCGCCCGCGUGCUGAGAGCGAGAGACAGGCCUCGCCGGCCCAGCCGCCACCGCCGGGCCAGAGCCCCAAGCAGGAGGACAAAAGCCAGACUCCAUGAAAACAGAAGACCAAUUGGGAUGGGAGUCAGACUAAGUGGCCUGACUCCGUUGGUGUUUAAGGAGCUCUGGUAUUCUAGUGCAUUCUUUUACCUCUGCUUCUGUUGCGUUGCAAGCUGUGCUAGAGAAGACGUAGGAAGUUCAUUUUACCCAAUCAGCAAUUGUAACAAUGGACUACCAACCUGCAGAGCAAGCCAGUUUGCUGGAAAACAGGAAUUCCUGCAGCGCAGCACUUGUCACAGACUACCCAAAGAGGGCAAAGAUUCAGGAAGGUGAAUAAAUUGAACACUGGUUGAAUGAGGUCAGGAACACUCUCCCGGAGGAGAAUCCUGCCCUAAAAUACUGCUUUGAAAGCAAAAGCCAAUUUAAUGCGCAGAUUAAACCUUCUCAUUUGACCAAACUUCUGUGCAAUCCUGGAUCUUUGCAGAUCACAACCGGACACUUCAAAACCCUGUGUAUUAUAUUUGUUUAAAAAAAAUAAAUCAUAACUUGUCUUGUUACAGCUGUUACUUUUGCCAUUUCAUUGAGAGAGUAGCUGCAACAUAAAUGUGUAUUUGACUCAGAAAAGUAUCAUACACUCGGGAUAAUAACUCAGGUUGUCAACAGAAUUAUUCUGUGAGGCUCAGUAUCCUCUUUCCAUUGUUCUGCAUUAACCAUAGCUGUCAUUGCCAGAUAGCCCAAUUGUGCAUUACAAAAUUCUUUGUCAAUUAUAAUGAUUGACCUAAGUUAUAAUUUUGUUUUUCUAGUAGAAUACUUAAAAAUUCUGACCAUCAGACUAGACCUUUGUAGUCCGGUGUUCAUGAAAAUCUUUUUCAUUGAUUAACAGUUUUCAUUCUGCAUCUCUGUUUUGUUUUCUUCUCCUUUUUCCUUGCAUACUAAGGGGUAUAGUUAAGGUAAUACUAUGAUUCAAUAAUGCUCGUGAUGGUAAGGGUUUGCCUUUAGUUGUUUCAGGAAAAAGCUGCCAUUAUCUCCUCUCCCUCUCUCAAUAUUUCCAAUAAUAUGCAUAACAUAAAGUGUUUGUAAAUUGAUAUCAAACUGUUUGUGACUUCACCUAAAUAAAUUUUUAUAUUUAAAUGC
rnacentral:lncRNA from 1 species